AUGAGCUUCCUUUGCUUUUCAAUGACCAAACUCAGGAUCAACUUCAAGCGUUCCAAGAGAGGAAACAAAAAGGACUGCCAUUCAGUCCAAGACCAUACUGAGAUUCCCUCUACUGAUAGACAUUGCAUAGCUCCAAUUGGAGAGGUUUCUCCCUCCAUAUCUCAGCCUGUCAAAAAACG